CAAACACAAAGCAGUCUGAGCAGCUUGGUUUUCAUGAGCAACAGUAUCUGCUUCAUUACAGAUUUCAGCUUGAGACUUGCAAGGGGUUCCCACAUCUGAUCCACAGCUGCCAUCCGGACACAUAAACUCUGAGGAACUUCAGUGUGACUGCCUUGUGCUAUGCAGACCCUGGGCAUUGCAGGCUUGGAGAAUUCCCGUCAUAGGAAUGUUCCCUACCUCCCCUCCUGCCUCACCAAUGCUGCAACCAAGAAUGCUGUAGCUGCUUGGGAGGGGUGCCAAAAAGAACCCCUACAGUAUAUGGGGAGCUGACCUUGGGCUGUUUGGCUGUGUGCCACAGGCCAAGACACCAUCUUCCUGUAAAAUAAACACCUCCUUGUCCUUAGCACAGCAACAUCUGUGAAGGA